rnacentral:rRNA from 1 species
UACGGAGGGUGCAAGCGUUAUCCGGAUUCACUGGGUUUAAAGGGUGCGUAGGUGGGUCUGUAAGUCCGCGGUGAAAUCUCUAGGCUUAACCUGGAAACUGCCAUGGAUACUAUAGGUCUUGAAUACUGUGGAGGUCAGCGGAAUAUGUCAUGUAGCGGUGAAAUGCUUAGAUAUGACAUAGAACACCAAUUGCGAAGGCAGCUGGCUACACAAAUAUUGACACUGAGGCACGAAAGCGUGGGGAUCAAACAGG